ACUCAAAUGAAUUGACGGGGACCCACACAAGCGGUGGAGCAUGUGGUUUAAUUCGACACCAAACGAAGGACCUCACCCAGGCUUGACAUGUCUGGAACCCCCCGGAAACGGGGGGGUGCCCGCAAGGGAAUCAGAACACAGGUGCUGCAUGGUCGUCGUCAGCUCGUGUCGUGAGAUGUUGGGUUAAGUCCCGCAACGAGCGCAACCCUCGUCGAUAGUUGCAUUUCUCUAUCGAGACUGCCCAGGAGAACUGGGAGGAAGGUGGGGAUGACGUCAGAUCAGCAUGGCCCUUAUGCCUGGGGCCACACACGUGCUACAAUGGCAAGGACAAUGGGCUGCGAACCUGCAAAGGGGAGCAAAUCCCUCAAAACUUGCCUCAGUUCGGAUUGAGGGCUGCAACUCGCCCUCAUGAAGUUGGAAUCGCUAGUAACCGCCGGUCAGCCAUACGGCGGUGAAUAUGUUCCUGGGUCUUGUACACACCGCCCGU
rnacentral:rRNA from 1 species